rnacentral:lncRNA from 1 species
CAUUUGCAUAUACUUUUCUUUUUAGGCAAAGUAUCUCUUAACUGCAUCUGAAUUCACAAGACGAGUGAAAUCCUCCCCAUCCAUUGUUGUAAGCAUCAAAGCUCCGCCUGAAAAGGCUCUCUUAACAACGUAUGGACCCUCGUAGUUUGGAGUCCACUUGCCCCUGGAAUCAGGCGCGAAAGACAAAACUUUCUUGAGCACGAGGUCACCUUCUCGGAACACACGGGGCUUGACCUUCUUGUCGAAUGCU